rnacentral:sRNA from 1 species
UUUUUACGUACGUUUAAGAGGUAUAUCUUCUUUCUAAUAAUGUUGUCUAAAUUGUGGUUUGGCGUCUCUCAAAGCAUCAUAGUAUAUCAUAAGUGUCUCAAAACAACUUUUGUAGGUAUGGAGCUGGAAACUUUGAUUGGAAGGAGUUUGUUAAUCCCUUAUACAUGAAGACCUAUGACGAGAUAAAUAAGUAU